rnacentral:piRNA from 1 species
UGAGAGUUGCGUGCCCUCAAGUUUUGAGU